UACGUAGGGUGCGAGCGUUAAUCGGAAUUACUGGGCGUAAAGAGCUCGUAGGUGGUUUGUCGCGUUGUUCGUGAAAACCGGGGGCUUAACCCUCGGCGUGCGGGCGAUACGGGCAGACUUGAGUACUGCAGGGGAGACUGGAAUUCCUGGUGUAGCGGUGGAAUGCGCAGAUAUCAGGAGGAACACCGGUGGCGAAGGCGGGUCUCUGGGCAGUAACUGACGCUGAGGAGCGAAAGCGUGGGGAGCGAACAGG
rnacentral:rRNA from 1 species